rnacentral:rRNA from 1 species
AGUGAACGCUGGCGGCAGGCCUAACACAUGCAAGUCGAGCGGCAGCGCGGGGGCAACCCUGGCGGCGAGCGGCGGACGGGUGAGGAAUGCAUCGGAAUCUACCUCGGUUGUGGGGGAUAACCUCGGGAAACCGGGACUAAUACCGCAUACGACCUACGGGUGAAAGUGGGGGACCUUCGGGCCUCACGCGAUGAGAUGAGCCGAUGCCGGAUUAGCUAGUUGGCGGGGUAAAGGCCCACCAAGGCGACGAUCCGUAGCUGGUCUGAGAGGAUGAUCAGCCACACUGGAACUGAGACACGGUCCAGACUCCUACGGGAGGCAGCAGUGGGGAAUAUUGGACAAUGGGCGCAAGCCUGAUCCAGCCAUGCCGCGUGUGUGAAGAAGGCCUUCGGGUUGUAAAGCACUUUUGUUGGGGAAGAAACCGGUCGGAUUAAUACUUCGGCUGAAUGACGGUACCCAAAGAAUAAGCACCGGCUAACUUCGUG